AGCAGCUGCUUUCACGUCCAGACGGGAUGGAUUUUGCAUAUGCAAAAGCGUGGCUGGGGCCAGGAUCUGAAUGUCUCCAGGGAAAACCGCAGCUGAAAAGUUCCCAAGCAGGCCUGCUUGUGUGAUGCAUGCUCAAGGGCAUGGCAGGCUUCUGAGGGGCUGGAGUCUAUUCCUGCAAUUUUGAUAUUCAUCCAAUCUUCAGAAAGUGCUGAAUGAAGAGUAUGAUGACGUUCUGGAGGAAAUGAUGCUGGAUAUCACAGUAAUGAAGAAAGAAGGAGAAUCUAUAGUUACUAUUGAACUUAAAGAAAAUGGUCCAAACAUUCCCAUCACUAAGCAUAACAGGAAAGAAUAUAUUGAUGUGUAUGUGAAUUACACAUUCAGUUUUAAUCUGUGAAGAGGCAAUUUAAAGAUUUCAACGGAUGCAUUUUUAAGAGGCUGCCCAGCCAACAGGUGGAGGAUCUUUCUUCCCACUGAACUUCAGGCCGUUUUCUAUGGGCAUACCAAAUAUGACUGGCAGCUGCUGGAAAAGCUUUUCUGACAGGAACCAAUCGAAUUGCUGCUGAAAGAAUGGAAUACUUGAUAUUGAACAUUGAAAAACUUCAAAGAGAAAAUGCAAAUGAAUACUAUCCUAUGGCUAAUACUUGCUCCCACAUUUUGGGCCUUCCAAAUUACAACAGUGAGGAGAUCCUGAGGAAGAAAUUCCUGACUGCCUUGGAGAAUUAUGAAAAAUUUGGCCUAUCAUAAGUAUUGGGCUUUAGAAAAAGAAACAUUUUUCAUGUCUUUAUUGCAAUACUUUUCUGUCAGCUCCUGUUUGAGGAUGUCUCCUUGUGCCCUGUCUUUUAUUUUUACUGCCUCUUAUUUGACUCUGUUCAUUUUUUGGGAUUCCAUCUGGAAUCUCCUCCUCCGAUAAUGCAUCUGACAUGCAGAGAGGAUGUUUGUAAGGAGAUG